rnacentral:rRNA from 1 species
CGUUGUUCGGAAUUACUGGGCGUAAAGGGCGCGUAGGCGGCCUGCUAAGUCGAACGUGAAAUCCCCGGGCUCAACCCGGGAACUGCGUCCGAUACUGGCAGGCUUGAAUCCGGGAGAGGGAUGUGGAAUUCCAGGUGUAGCGGUGAAAUGCGUAGAUAUCUGGAGGAACACCGGUGGCGAAGGCGGCAUCCUGGACCGGUAUUGACGCUGAUGCGCGAAAGCCAGGGGAGCAAACGGG